rnacentral:rRNA from 1 species
AUUGAACGCUGGCGGCAGGCCUAACACAUGCAAGUCGAACGGUAACAGAGAGAGAGUUGCUUCUUUGCUGACGCGAGUCGGAGGGGGGUGAGGUGUACGGCGAACUCCAUGUUGGCGUGGGGGAUCUCGUGGGGAAGGUAACGAUAAUACCGUAACCGCGCAACGCGAGAGAGGAGGACCUUCUCGCACCUUGCGAGCGGGUAUGAGCCGAUGUGGGAUUAGCUAGUUGGCGGGGUAACGGCCCACCAAGGCGACGAUCCCUAGCUGGUCUGAGAGGAUGAUCAGCCACACUGGAACUGAGACACGGUCCAGACUCCUACGGGAGGCAGCAGUGGGGAAUAUUGGACAAUGGGCGCAAGCCUGAUCCAGCCAUGCCGCGUGGAUGAAGAAGGCCUUCGGGUUGUAAAGCCCUUUUGUUGGGGAGGAAGAGAGUCAGGUUAAUACCUCGCCGUAUUGACGUUACCCGAAGAAUAAGCACCGGCUAACUUCGUG